rnacentral:rRNA from 1 species
ACUCCUAACUGACCGAUAGUGAACCAGUACCGUGAGGGAAAGGCGAAAAGAACCCCUGUGAGGGGAGUGAAAUAGAACCUGAAACCGUAUACGUACAAGCAGUGGGAGCCCCAUCACUAAGUGCCUUUAGUGAUGUGACUCACAAAGUGCUAACCCUUGAUAUAGCGAUUAACGUUGACCUGCGAAGCAGCCAACGGUAAACCGCCAAAAUCAAGCAGGGUGCUUAGUGAUGGGGUGACUGCGUACCUUUUGUAUAAUGGGUCAGCGACUUAUAUUUAGUAGCAAGGUUAAGCGAAUAGCGGAGCCGUAGCGAAAGCGAGUGUUAACUGCGCGUUGAGUUGCUAGGUAUAGACCCGAAACCCGGUGAUCUAGCCAUGAGCAGGUUGAAGGUUGAGUAACAUCAACUGGAGGACCGAACCCACUGACGUUGAAAAGUCAGGGGAUGACUUGUGGCUGGGGGUGAAAGGCCAAUCAAACCGGGAGAUAGCUGGUUCUCCCCGAAAUCUAUUUAGGUAGAGCCUCGGACGAAUUCCAUUGGGGGUAGAGCACUGUUAAGGCUAGGGGGUCAUCCCGACUUACCAACCCUUUGCAAACUCCGAAUACCAAUGAGAACUAUCCGGGAGACACACGGCGGGUGCUAACGUCCGUCGUGGAGAGGGAAACAACCCAGACCGCCAGCUAAGGUCCCAAAAUAUUGCUAAGUGGGAAACGAUGUGGGAAGGCACAGACAGCUAGGAGGUUGGCUUAGAAGCAGCCACCCUUUAAAGAAAGCGUAAUAGCUCACUAGUCGAGUCGGCCUGCGCGGAAGAUGUAACGGGGCUAAGCAAUAUACCGAAGCUGCGGCAGCACAGUUUACUGUGCUGGGUAGGGGAGCGUUGUGUAAGUGGAUGAAGGUGAGUUGUAAAGCUUGCUGGACAUAUCACAAGUGCGAAUGCUGACAUGAGUAACGAUAAUGGGAGUGAAAAACUCCCACGCCGGAAGACCAAGGUUUCCUGUCCCAUGCUAAUCAGGGCAGGGUAAGUCGGCCCCUAAGGCGAGGCAGAAAUGCGUAGUCGAUGGGAAACGGAUUAAUAUUUCCGUACUUAUAUAAUCAGUGAUGGAGGGACGGAGAAGGCUAGGCAAGCUUGGCGUUGGUUGUCCAAGUGAAAGUGCGUAGACCGAGAACUUAGGUAAAUCCGGGUUCUUAAAGUCGAGACACGAGACGAGCCACUAAGGUGGUGAAGUUGUUGAUGCCCUGCUUCCAGGAAAAGCUUCUAAACUUAUGAUUAUAUGAACCGUACCCCAAACCGACACAGGUGGUCAGGUAGAGAAUACUAAGGCGCUUGAGAGAACUCGGGUGAAGGAACUCGGCAAAAUUGUACCGUAACUUCGGGAGAAGGUACGCCUCUGUGUGUGAAGACUUCGCGUCGUAAGCACAUGGAGGCCGCAGUGACCAGGUGGCUGGGACUGUUUAUUAAAAACACAGCACUCUGCAAACUCGUAAGAGGACGUAUAGGGUGUGACACCUGCCCGGUGCCGGAAGGUUAAUUGAUGGGGUUAGUCUUCGGACGAAGCUCUUGAUCGAAGCCCCGGUAAACGGCGGCCGUAACUAUAACGGUCCUAAGGUAGCGAAAUUCCUUGUCGGGUAAGUUCCGACCUGCACGAAUGGUGUAACCAUGGCCACGCUGUCUCCACCCGAGACUCAGUGAAAUUGAAAUCGCAGUGAAGAUGCUGUGUACCCGCACCUAGACGGAAAGACCCCGUGAACCUUUACUACAGCUUGGCACUGAACAUUGAACCUACAUGUGUAGGAUAGGUGGGAGGCUUUGAAGCAUUGUCGCUAGAUGAUGUGGAGCCGUCCUUGAAAUACCACCCUUGUAUGUUUGAUGUUCUAACAUAGUUCCCUUAUCGGGAAUGUGGACAGUGUCUGGUGGGUAGUUUGACUGGGGCGGUCUCCUCCCAAAUAGUAACGGAGGAGCACGAAGGUUAGCUAAUCACGGUCGGACAUCGUGAGGUUAGUGCAAUGGCAUAAGCUAGCUUAACUGCGAGACAGACACGUCGAGCAGGUACGAAAGUAGGUCAUAGUGAUCCGGUGGUUCUGUAUGGAAGGGCCAUCGCUCAACGGAUAAAAGGUACUCCGGGGAUAACAGGCUGAUACCGCCCAAGAGUUCAUAUCGACGGCGGUGUUUGGCACCUCGAUGUCGGCUCAUCACAUCCUGGGGCUGAAGU